rnacentral:rRNA from 1 species
GGUUAAGUGAAUAAGGGCGCACGGUGGAUGCCUUGGCACUAGGAGCCGAUGAAGGACGGGACUAACACCGAUAUGCUUUGGGGAGCUGUAAGUAAGCUAUGAUCCAGAGAUUUCCGAAUGGGGGAACCCAAUAUCUUUUAUAGGAUAUUACUUUUCAGUGAAUACAUAGCUGAUUAGAGGUAGACGCAGAGAACUGAAACAUCUUAGUACCUGCAGGAAGAGAAAGAAAAUUCGAUUCCCUGAGUAGCGGCGAGCGAAACGGGAAGAGCCCAAACCAACAAGCUUGCUUGUUGGGGUUGUAGGACUCCAAUAUGGUAGUCUGUUAGUAUAGUUGAAGGAUUUGGAAAAUUCCGCUAAAGAGGGUGAAAGCCCCGUAGACGAAAUGCUGACAACACCUAGGAGGAUCCUGAGUACGGCGGAACACGAGAAAUUCCGUCGGAAUCCGCGGGGACCAUCCCGCAAGGCUAAAUACUCCCUAGUGACCGAUAGUGAACCAGUACCGUGAGGGAAAGGUGAAAAGCACCCCGGAAGGGGAGUGAAAUAGAUCCUGAAACCGUGUGCCUACAACAAGUCAAAGCUCGUUAAUGAGUGAUGGCGUGCCUUUUGUAGAAUGAACCGGCGAGUUACGAUUGCAUGCGAGGUUAAGUCGAAGAGACGGAGCCGCAGCGAAAGCGAGUCUGAAUAGGGCGAAUAAGUAUGUAGUCGUAGACCCGAAACCAUGUGAUCUACCCAUGUCCAGGUUGAAGGUGCGGUAAAACGCACUGGAGGACCGAACCCACGUACGUUGAAAAGUGCGGGGAUGAGGUGUGGGUAGCGGAGAAAUUCCAAACGAACUUGGAGAUAGCUGGUUCUCUCCGAAAUAGCUUUAGGGCUAGCCUCGGAAUUGAGAAUGAUGGAGGUAGAGCACUGUUUGGACUAGGGGCCCAUCUCGGGUUACCGAAUUCAGAUAAACUCCGAAUGCCAUUCAUUUAUAUCCGGGAGUCAGACUGCGAGUGAUAAGAUCCGUAGUCGAAAGGGAAACAGCCCAGACCACCAGCUAAGGUCCCAAAAUAUAUGUUAAGUGGAAAAGGAUGUGGGGUUGCACAGACAACUAGGAUGUUGGCUUAGAAGCAGCCACCAUUUAAAGAGUGCGUAAUAGCUCACUAGUCGAGUGACCCUGCGCCGAAAAUGUACCGGGGCUAAACAUAUUACCGAAGCUGUGGACUACACCAUUAAGGUGUAGUGGUAGGAGAGCGUUCUAAGGGCGUUGAAGGUCGAUCGUGAGGACGGCUGGAGCGCUUAGAAGUGAGAAUGCCGGUAUGAGUAGCGAAAGACAGGUGAGAAUCCUGUCCACCGUAUGACUAAGGUUUCCUGGGGAAGGCUCGUCCGCCCAGGGUUAGUCGGGACCUAAGCCGAGGCCGAUAGGCGUAGGCGAUGGACAACAGGUUGAUAUUCCUGUACCAGUUGUUUUUGUUUGAGCAAUGGAGGGACGCAGUAGGCUAAGGAAUGCAUGCGAUUGGAAGUGCAUGUCCAAGCAAUGAGUCUUGAGUAGAGUUAAAUGCUUUACUCUUUAAGGACAAGUUGUGACGGGGAGCGAAAUAAUAGUAGCGAAGUUCCUGAUGUCACACUGCCAAGAAAAGCUUCUAGUGAGAAAACAACUGCCCGUACCGUAAACCGACACAGGUAGUCGAGGAGAGUAUCCUAAGGUGAGCGAGCGAACUCUCGUUAAGGAACUCGGCAAAAUGACCCCGUAACUUCGGGAGAAGGGGUGCUGACUUCGGUCAGCCGCAGUGAAUAGGCCCAAGCGACUGUUUAUCAAAAACACAGGUCUCUGCAAAAUCGUAAGAUGAAGUAUAGGGGCUGACGCCUGCCCGGUGCUGGAAGGUUAAGAGGAUGGGUUAGCUAACGGUCCUAAGGUAGCGAAAUUCCUUGUCGGGUAAGUUCCGACCCGCACGAAAGGCGUAACGAUUUGGGCACUGUCUCAACGAGAGACUCGGUGAAAUUUUAGUACCUGUGAAGAUGCAGGUUACCCGCGACAGGACGGAAAGACCCCAUGGAGCUUUACUGUAGUUUGAUAUUGAGUGUUUGUACCACAUGUACAGGAUAGGUAGGAGCCGAUGAGACCGGAACGCUAGUUUCGGAGGAGGCGCUGGUGGGAUACUACCCUUGUGUUAUGAACCCUCUAACCCGCACCACUAAUCGUGGUGGGAGACAGUGUCAGAUGGGCAGUUUGACUGGGGCGGUCGCCUCCUAAAAGGUAACGGAGGCGCCCAAAGGUUCCCUCAGAAUGGUUGGAAAUCAUUCGAAGAGUGUAAAGGCAGAAGGGAGCUUGACUGCGAGACCUACAAGUCGAGCAGGGACGAAAGUCGGGCUUAGUGAUCCGGUGGUUCCGCAUGGAAGGGCCAUCGCUCAACGGAUAAAAGCUACCCUGGGGAUAACAGGCUUAUCUCCCCCAAGAGUCCACAUCGACGGGGAGGUUUGGCACCUCGAUGUCGGCUCGUCGCAUCCUGGGGCUGUAGUCGGUCCCAAGGGUUGGGCUGUUCGCCCAUUAAAGCGGCACGCGAGCUGGGUUCAGAACGUCGUGAGACAGUUCGGUCCCUAUCCGUCGCGGGCGUUGGAAAUUUGAGAGGAGCUGUCCUUAGUACGAGAGGACCGGGAUGGACUUACCGCUGGUGUACCAGUUGUUCUGCCAAGGGCAUUGCUGGGUAGCUAUGUAGGGAAGGGAUAAACGCUGAAAGCAUCUAAGUGUGAAGCCCACCUCAAGAUGAGAUUUCCCAUUUCUUUAAGAAAGUAAGACCCCUGAGAGAUGAUCAGGUAGAUAGGUUGGAAGUGGAAGGCUAGUGAUAGUUGGAGCGGACCAAUACUAAUCGGUCGAGGACUUAACCAA